CUUGUGUUUUUCUUGCUGUUGAAAAGAGAAGAGAAUCUACUCCUCCUGGGUCAAUCUUCAUCUCUUUCCAAGGUGAAUGAACUGCUUUAGCUGAUCAAGGAACCAUAUUGCACUCUGUUACAGUUCUUGUGGCCAGUGAUAGGACUUCGCAAGGUCAUAGAAGAGAAUCUACUCCUCCUGGGUCAAUCUUCAUCUCUUUCCAAGGUGAAUGAACUGCUUUAGCUGAUCAAGGAACCAUAUUCCACUCU